rnacentral:rRNA from 1 species
GAUGAACGCUGGCGGCGUGCCUAAUACAUGCAAGUCGAGCGAACGGACGAGAAGCUUGCUCCUCUGAUGUUAGCGGCGGACGGGUGAGUAACACGUGGAUAACCUACCUAUAAGACUGGGAUAACUUCGGGAAACCGGAGCUAAUACCGGAUGAUAUUUUGAACCGCAUGGUUCAAAAGUGAAAGACGGUCUUGCUGUCACUUAUAGAUGGAUCCGCGCUGCAUUAGCUAGUUGGUAAGGUAACGGCUUACCAAGGCAACGAUGCGUAGCCGACCUGAGAGGGUGAUCGGCCACACUGGAACUGAGACACGGUCCAGACUCCUACGGGAGGCAGCAGUAGGGAAUCUUCCGCAAUGGGCGAAAGCCUGACGGAGCAACGCCGCGUGAGUGAUGAAGGUCUUCGGAUCGUAAAACUCUGUUAUUAGGGAAGAACAUAUGUGUAAGUAACUGUGCACGUCUUGACGGUACCUAAUCAGAAAGCCACGGCUAACUACGUG